rfam:Culex pipiens quinquefasciatus supercont3.261 genomic scaffold, whole genome shotgun sequence.
AUAACCUCUAUCAACAUGACAAGAUUAUUCAAUUCACGGUGGGAAUGAUCUGCCAAAUCAGCGCUAAUCAAUUAGCUAAUUGACAAAAAUCAACGCUAGUUGAUUAGCGUUACUAUAAUUGAUUAGGUGUGUCUCACCCCUCGAUAGAGGACUACCAUGGUUGCAACGGGUAACGGGGAAUCAGGGUUCGAUUCCGGAGAGGGAGCCUGAGAAAUGGCUUCCAUUUCCAAGGAAGGCAGCAGGCGCGUAAAUUACCCAAUCCCGGCACGGGGAGGUAGUGGCGAGAAAUAACAAUAUAAGACUCUUUUAUGAUGUUUUAUAAUUGGAAUGAACCGAGCAUAAAUCCUUCGGUAAGGAUCAAGUAGAGGGCAAGUCUGGUGCCAGCAGCCGCGGUAAUUCCAGCUCCACUAGCGUAU